rnacentral:ncRNA from 5 species
UCACAGUGAACCGGUCUCUU